rnacentral:lncRNA from 1 species
AUGAAGCGAAGGGCGCAUCUUCCCCACACUAAGCAGCGGCAAUUUGAAUUACAGUCACAGAGUCGGAAAGCCCCCGCUUGCCUGCGGGGUGGCGAGGACAAGAAAGGUCAAGGGACGUCCGCGGGGACGAUGGCGAAGAAACGGGGCGGCUCACCGACCGGCACCUCGGGGAGAGGCACCGGCACCUCGGGAAAAGCAUCGGCACCUCGGGAAAGGCACCGGCACCUCGGGGAGAGGCACCGGCACCUCGGGAAAAGCAUCGGCACCUCGGGAAAGGCACCGGCACCUCGGGGAGAGGCACCGGCACCUCGGGAAAAGCAUCGGCACCUCGGGAAAGGCACCGGCACCUCGGGGAGAGGCACCGGCACCUCGGGAAAAGCAUCGGCACCUCGGGAAAGGCACCGGCACCUCGGGGAGAGGCACCGGCACCUCGGGAAAAGCAUCGGCACCUCGGGAAAGGCACCGGCACCUCGGGGAGAGGCACCGGCACCUCGGGAAAAGCAUCGGCACCUCGGGAAAGGCACCGGCACCUCGGGGAGAGGCACCGGCACCUCGGGAAAAGCAUCGGCACCUCGGGAAAGGCACCGGCACCUCGGGGAGAGGCACCGGCACCUCGGGAAAAGCAUCGGCACCUCGGGAAAGGCCACCGGCACCUCGGGAACCGCACCGGCACCUCGGGAAAAGCAUCGGCACCUCGGGAAAGGCACCGGCACCUCGGGGAGAGGCACCGGCACCUCGGGAAAAGCAUCGGCACCUCGGGAAGGCACCGGCAUCUCGGGAAAGGCAUCAGCAUCUCGGGAACGGCACCGGCACCUCGGGAAAGGCAUCGGCAUCUCGGGAAAGGCAUCAGCAUCUCGGGAACGGCACCGGCACCUCGGGAAAGGCAUCGGCAUCUCGGGAAAGGCAUCAGCAUCUCGGGAACGGCACCGGCACCUCGGGAAAGGCAUCGGCAUCUCGGGAAAGGCAUCAGCAUCUCGGGAACGGCACCGGCACCUCGGGAAAGGCAUCGGCAUCUCGGGAAAGGCAUCAGCAUCUCGGGAACGGCACCGGCACCUCGGGAAAGGCAUCGGCAUCUCGGGAAAGGCAUCAGCAUCUCGGGAACGGCACCGGCACCUCGGGAAAGGCCUCCGCAUCUCGGGAGCGGCGCGGGCGGAGCGACACGGGCCCGGCCGGACCGGACUGCACUGGAUCUGCUGGAUCCCGGAGAUCGUGUGUGAUGCUGCCCAUGUCACUGGAGAGGAGCUCUUCACAAGUGGCCUUGAUCCAUGUGUUCAUUCUCUGAUGUCCAGCUUGCUCCUUCGUGAUCUUACUCAGCAAAGUGCUCGAGGCUUGCAGCAGUGA